AUUGAACGCUGGCGGAAUGCUUUACACAUGCAAGUCGAACGGCAGCACGGAGCAACCUGGUGGCGAGUGGCGAACGGGUGAGUAAUACAUCGGAACGUGCCCAAUCGUGGGGGAUAACGUAGCGAAAGUUACGCUAAUACCGCAUACGAUCUACGGAUGAAAGCGGGGGAUCGCAAGACCUCGCGCGAAUGGAGCGGCCGAUGUCAGAUUAGGUAGUUGGUGGGGUAAAGGCUCACCAAGCCAACGAUCUGUAGCUGGUCUGAGAGGACGACCAGCCACACUGGAACUGAGACACGGUCCAGACUCCUACGGGAGGCAGCAGUGGGGAAUUUUGGACAAUGGGCGCAAGCCUGAUCCAGCCAUUCCGCGUGCAGGAUGAAGGCCUUCGGGUUGUAAACUGCUUUGUACGGUAACGAAACGGUACUGCCCUAAUACGGCGGGCUAAUGACGGUACCGUAAGAAUAAGCACCGGCUAACUACGUGCCAGCAGCCGCGGUAAACU
rnacentral:rRNA from 1 species